UUAUAUUCUUUCAGAUUUCGGUUAAGACAAUGUGAUGAAAUCAACCAUGCCUUUAAACUUGUGAUGGAACAAGGUUUGAGGCCGUUGACAUUUAACUCCGUCACGUUAGUGGUGCCUGACUGCUCGCUAAUAAACCCAGCCGUUAGAAAACGUCGUCAAUACCUCGUCGUCCUCUUCCUGAAUCAAUUGGUGCUCGCAUCGCGUGAUUCGUCCCGAUGAAGUGCCGAUCCGUCGCGUGCUUAUGGUCUCGAGCGCCACCAUCCCAUCGAGUCACCGCCACAGCCGCUCUGACCAAUCCUCCGACUCUGUACACCGGCGGAUCCGAUGGAUCCAUCAUCUGGUGGAGCAUCUCUUCCUCCGAGUCCAAUUCGGAGGUUAAGCCGAUUGCUAUGCUGUGUGGCCAUUCCGCACCUAUAGCAGAUCUCGCUGUUUGUGACCCUACCACUGUUUCAGAGAAUGGAGUUACAGCAGCAGAUUCUGUUAAAGAGGAUCCAUUUGUUAACUGUAGUGCAUUGAUCAGUGCUUGUACUGAUGGUGUGCUCUGCGUAUGGAGCAGAAGUAGUGGACACUGUAGACGACGAAGAAAGCUACCUCCUUGGGUUGGAAGCCCGUCUAUUUUGUGCACUUUGCCGUCAGAACCUAGAUAUGUUUGUGUUGGGUGUUCAUAUAUCGAGAGCCAUUCCUUAGAUACUGUUGAUGGGGCUGAGUCUUUGUCAGAUACUGAUGCUCAGAACAGAAGACCGUCGAGAUGCACUGUAGUUGUUGUGGAUACUUAUACUCUUACUAUUGUUCAUACUGUUUUCCAUGGGAAUUUAUCUAUUGGGCAUUUGAAGUUCAUGGGUGUGGUUCAGUUGGAGGAGCAGGAGUCGUUGCUCAUGGCAGAUUCAUCUGGUAGGCUGCAACUGGUUCCAGUGUCAGAUAACGUUGACAAGGGUGAAGAUGUAUCUGAAUCGAGCAAAAGCUCCAUGAGAAACUGGUUGAAUGAAGGGGAAAUAGCUAUAUCAGUAAUAACCCGAGGGAAUCUUGUUGCUCUUUUUUUAAAGAAUAGAGGUGUCUUUUGGUUGUUGAAUCGCGGGGAGGCAAUAGGAGAGAUAUCUUUUGUUGACGACUCGCCUUGUUCGGAUUUUAAUUUCAAAGAAGCAAUGUGGCUAUACUCUAGUACAUCAGCAUCCGAAGGCGAUGAAAAUGAUAUAGUUUCUGAAACUUUUGCGCUGUUGGAUGAUAGUGGUUCUGCUGUGUUGUUUGACAUGUCGUAUAUAGAUGGAGAAUUUACAUAUAAGAAAAAUGGUGAGGUUGUUACUGCUUCUGAUCAGCAUUCAGAGAAAUCAUCGUUUUGUUUUGUGCAGUUGAGGCAGUCUCUUCUUCGCGUGGAGUCUAGCUGUUGUGGUACUGAACAACCUUUUCAGUGGUGGCCUCAUAUAACUGUUUGGUCACUAAGCCUAAGAAAUGGUGAUGAAAAAGAGUUUCGGCUGCAGUGCAAAAUGCUUGGAGAAGGAUCGUAUUUUGAUGAUUGGAUUUCGAGUUCUGGUGUAGAUCUUAAAGGCUCUACCGAAAAUGAUUUAGGAAGCUCUGUUAGUGACAGUGGGCAGUGCGUGUCAUCGUCCAUGGUUAUUUCUGAGAAUAUGUAUGUCCCUUAUGCUGUUGUCCAUGGUUUCUUUAGCGGUGAAAUAGAAAUUGCAAAGUUUGAUUUUCUUCAAGGACUUGAUUCACCUGCUUCAAGCCCGAGAUCAGACACUGAUCCACUCGUAUCUAAACAGCAUCUCUUGGGACAUACAGGACCUGUUCUGUGCUUAGCAGCACAUCGAAUGCUUGGGGCUGCAAACGGACGUAGUCCUUCUCAUGUUUUGAUAUCAGGAAGUAUGGACUGCACCAUCCGCAUCUGGGAUCUCGAAAGCGGCAAUGUAGUCAUGAUCAUGCACCACCAUGUUGCUCCAGUGCGCCAAAUCAUUCUUGCACCCGCUCGGACAGAACACCCAUGGAGUGAUUGCUUUCUUUCUGUUGGGGAUGAUUCAUGUGUUGCUCUUUCUUCUCUUGAGACUUUGCGUGUCGAAAGGAUGUUUCCCGGACACCCAAACUAUCCUGAAAAGGUCGUUUGGGAUGGUACAAGAGGCUAUAUUGCAUGUCUGUUCCGCUCCCUUUCUAGGAAAUCAGAUCCUAUUGAUGUUUUAUACAUUUGGGAUGUAAAGACAGGGGCUCGAGAACGUGUCCUCCGUGGGGCAGCGUCACAUUCUAUGUUUGAUCAUUUUUGUGCAGGCAUCAGUGAGAAAUCUUAUUCCGGAUCUGUCUUAAAUGGAAAUACGUCAGUUUCCUCUUUACUUUUCCCAGCAGACGAAGAGAAGAAACCAUUUUACUUAAAGAACUACGAGAGAAUAGCCUCUUUGCCAACAUCGAAGCCAAGUGCUUCACAGGAAAAGACUAGAGAAGAGAGUUCUAGUGCUUCCUCUCUUUCCCAAACCAUGAGAUACCCUCCCAUCAAAUGCGCUUGCCCGUUCCCUGGAAUCUCUACGCUUAUUUUCGAUCUCUCGUCAUUAGCAGUUUAUUGCCAAGCACAUGAGAACUCAGAUAUGCGUAAGAUGCUAGGGGAAAGUAGUGGUAAGCCGACUGCUCAACAGAAGACUUCAAACAACCAGUCUCCUGUCCAGGAGACUGUAGAUAACCCUGCAGAAAUUUCUCCCAUGGACAAGGCAAUUGGGGAAUAUCUAAUUCGAUUUAGUUUAUCCUUUCUACAUAUGUGGGGUAUAGAUACUGAACCCCUAAUGCAUGAUCAAACGCUAACAACACAUCUAAAGCUAAAAAGACCAGAGCAGUUUCAGUUGUUAGGGUUUUUCGAAGGGACAAAAGGGUCACUGACAUAGUUAGCAUUCCCAAAGGGUUUGAAUGCAAUCACGAUCUGAUGACGAGUAUUCAAGUCAUCCUCGGAGUUCUCUGCGUUGAGGAGUCAUGUGUGAUGGUCUGUCGCUUGCUCAGUGCAUGAUAGAGCCUGUCUCUCACUCCACUGCCGCCAGCUAGCAGCAAGCCUUGGCAGCGUUCUACCACUAGAAUCUGGCGAGAAAUGAUCCCGAUGUUUUUAGUGACCUUCUGGUCAAAUAAAGAAGCGAACAGAGUCCACAGUAUGGGCUGGAUGCUCCUGCUCUAUUAUUCCACCACACUGCUUCUUUUGCAAUACCUCUUCCAUUAUGCAGUGAUUUCCGCAUCAGAAAGCACCCAAACUGCCACAACUGGUGAGAUCCUCUCUCUGAAAUCUGUCUGCAUGAACCUGAAGCUCUCAGCUCAGAAGAAGAACGUCCCACAACGGAGGACUCUGAGCAUAUCCAUGAAGCUCCUCGGCUCUUCUCAGGCUGAGAUAGUCAGAACUACUCUCCUGCUUGAAUCCUUGGAAAUGCAAGAUCUGGAUUGCGACCUCUAUGCGUAUGGGGGAACAAGUCAGGACGCGAUGGCGGCUCACAUCAUUGUGGCGGCUGCAUUAUCAAUAUGGUAUCCAAGCCUUGUAAAACCUGGUCUAGCCAUGCUGGUCGUCCACAAGUUGUUGAACCUGGUUAUGGCCAUGAGUGAGAAAUACAGCUCUACUGCUGCUGAGCUUCUCUCAGAAGGAAUGGAAACUACAUGGAAGCUGUUGAUUGGACCUGACAUCCCUCGGAUAGUUUCAGACAUAUUUUUCCAGAUAGAGUGCGUCAGUUCCUCGGCCAGAGCACAUCAAGCUGUACUAUCAUCGUCUAUAAAGGAGACUCUGGUCGAGGUUCUUCUUCCGAGUUUAGCCAUGGCAGAUGUCACUGGGUUUCUAAGCAUGAUAGAGAGCCAAAUAUGGUCCACAGCUUCUGACUCUCCUGUUCAUGUAGUAUCUCUCAGAACUCUCAUCAGAAUAAUCCGUGCUUCUCCCAGAAAUCUGGUGCUGCAUCUUGAAAAGGUAGUUAAUUUUGUUCUUCAAACGAUGGACCCAAGCAACACCGUUAUGCGCAAAACUUGCCUGCAAACCUCAAUGGCUGCCUUGAGAGAAGUUGUGCGCGUGUUUCCGAUGGUGAUCCUAAACGAUUCAUCAACAAGGUUAGCAAUUGGUGAUGCUAUCACGGAGAUCAACGGUGCCAGUAUCCGCAUAUAUGACAUGCAAAGUAUGACAAAAAUAAGGGUUUUAGAUGCGAGUGGACCUCCGGGUCUUCCAAAUUUGCUUAGAGGCGCUUCAGAAUCUGCGGUAACAACAGCUAUCUCAGCUCUCAGCUUUUCACCUGAUGGAGAGGGAUUGGUUGCGUUUUCGGAAAACGGUUUGAUGAUCAGAUGGUGGUCACUAGGAUCGGUUUGGUGGGAGAAGCUAAGCCGAAGCCUCACACCUGUCCAAUGCACAAAACUGAUAUUCAUGCAUCCAUGGGAUGGGUUCUCCUCUAACUCUUCUCGGACAAGUGUGAUCUCAAGUAUCACAAGCCAUGAUGAAGAAACUCCUCUUCAGGAAACCUCAAAGAACAUAAGCCACGCAGAGCGGCUAAAGCAGCUAGUUCAACAUCUUGAUCUCUCCUAUCGACUCGUAUGGGCAAAUGAACGCAAAGUAGUUCUAACAAGACACAGUGUUGAGUUGGGCACUUGCCUUUUGUAACUGCCAAUGUAAAAAUUUGGACAAUGUUAUAUCCAUGUCUCUCUCUCAUUUUUGCUCGAGAUUUUUUUUCUCUUUUUUUUUUUUUUUUUUGCAGCUUUUCAAGAAUAGCUAAGCAUAUUGAUUUCAUGUUUUAGGUUUUUAGGAGGCUAUCAUGAGAACGUAUUUUGUGUGUGAAAACGAGAAUGCCUUUUUCCUGUUUGUAUAUGAAAACAAAUAUUGAAAUAAA